AGGGCGGGGGUGGGGAGUGGGAGGAUUGAUUCAGAAUGGCAGUUGGGGGAUUGAUUCAGGGAUACAAGCGAUGGAACCCAGUGCAUCCCACGUAUGGGGCAUUUUGGGGAGUCGGCGUGGGGUUGGGCUGCGGCGUGGGGUGGGGCCCUGGAUUCGGCCAUGAGGUCGUGGGCUUUGUGGGCUCCGGAUGCGGCGUGGGAUUGAGCAUGGGCGUCACCUUGGUGGGCGUCGGAGUAGGAUUGCCGGCUUCUGGCCUUGCUUGUGUGCCUUGCAAUGUUGUCACCGGAGCUGGCCAAGGGGUCAGGCAAAUGACUAGAGUGAUAGCUCCAAUGGUUUCCAGUUUCGCUUCUCGAACCUGGCAGGCCAUGGACACUAAAAUCUCCAUGCUCGAUCACCAACUACGACUGAGAAGCCAGAGGACUGGAGAUGGCUCUUUUCGCGAGCAGAGUAUUGCACCAGAUGCAGAGACGAUGGAGCGGGCGAGUGGCGAUGACUCGCAUGAUUUUAAUCGCCGAUCUCGAGUGAGAUUUUCCGCCUCUAGCAGUUUACCUCAGUCUUCUAGUCAAGAUGUGCGCUCCGAGUGCCCACAUGAACAAAAUUUUGGUGAAGGCAACUAAGCUGCAGUGGUCUCUGUCGGAACUGAUGCAUUUGGGACGACUAGAGUCUGGUGGUUUCCCUGACCUGACUUUAUAAGUUGUGAAGAGCUCUGCUUAAAUUUUAUAAAGUGUGAGUUGAGUGAUUGGGGUAAAGUGUCGGUAACCUUGUAACACCAUGUAUAAUUUCAAUGAGAAAACAGAUUUCAACGUAACGGCCGUAUUCACUUUUUAAGGAA